rnacentral:rRNA from 1 species
AUUGAACGCUGGCGGCAGGCCUAACACAUGCAAGUCGAACGGUAACAGGAAGAAGCUUGCUUCUUUGCUGACGAGUGGCGGACGGGUGAGUAAUGUCUGGGAAACUGCCUGAUGGAGGGGGAUAACUACUGGAAACGGUAGCUAAUACCGCAUAACGUCGCAAGACCAAAGAGGGGGACCUUCGGGCCUUUUGCCAUUGGCUGUGCCCAGAUGGGAUUAGCUAGUAGGUGGGGUAACGGCUCACCUAGGCGACGAUCCCUAGCUGGUCUGAGAGGAUGACCAGCCACACUGGAACUGAGACACGGUCCAGACUCCUACGGGAGGCAGCAGUGGGGAAUAUUGCACAAUGGGCGCAAGCCUGAUGCAGCCAUGCCGCGUGUAUGAAGAAGGCCUUCGGGUUGUAAAGUACUUUCAUCGGGGAAGAAGGUAGUAAAGUUAAUACCUUUACUCAUUGACGUUACCCGCAGAAGAAGCACCGGCUAACUCCGUG